CACACACACCAGCGGUUCCAGGCCGAGUUGUCUCUUGGUCAUCAGAUUCUGCACUCUGUGAUUCAUGAAGCACUACACCUGUUAGAGAGGGGAGAGGUGGAGGACAGAACGGACUUCCUGCUGAAGCUUGCGCAGCUGCGUGAGCACUGGCAGGGGGCGGUGCAGCGGUCAGCCCAGCGGCGCGCCCUGGUGGACGGUCUGGUGCAGCACUGGCACCUGUACAGA